rnacentral:lncRNA from 1 species
CUAUGGUCCAAGGUUCCCCAAACAAGAAUCACUCAUACACAAUUCUUGCUACAUCUAGAGAACACUAAUACCAGUAUCAGUUUAUUUAUGAUGUUUAUUUUAACUUAAAGAUAGAGAAAACUUUAGAGCACUACCUAUACUCUCCACACUAUAUCCAGAAAGAGUACUCUACGCAUUAAACUGCCCUUGCCACUUCACUGUCUAAAACAUGUCUCCAUUAUCAAUUCAUAUAUUAUGUCAAAUCCCUCGAAUUUUAAAAUAAAAAUAAAAUUCAAAGGUAAAUGUUAGAAAUCUAUGCAUUUAUGGCUACUGCCUAAGUCCUAUUCUUUUGGAAUCAUUUCUAGAAAGGGUAAAAGCUGACCACACUCAGUACACUGGUCAAAGUCUGAACCCAGAAUACCAGGAAACUCCAUCCUCCAACACCAUCCCCCAAAGCCCACUCUGCAAAGGCAAUGACAUUCUCAAAAUAUAGAAGUACCGAGUCCUUCUUAGGCCAUAUUUAGUUCACUGUAACACUAUUCGUCGGUGAAUUCUUUUAUUCACUUGUAUCACUGUGGACUCAUGGAUUCUUUUUUAUUAAAUGGCAAACUGAUGCUCUAUAAAUUUUGACAUAUGUAUACAUCCAUGAAGCCGGCACCACAAUCAAGAUAAUGAACCAAAUGAUUGUCCAUGGAUGCUUACUCUGCCCUUUCAAUGACUAAUCUGUAUAAUCUGUAGUCCUAUCAAUGAGCUGUUUUUCUCCUCCUGGGCCCUGUUGUUGUUCAUCCUAUUUGCCUCCCUGGCAAAUGUGACAGUUGUAGCUGUUGUUAUUUUUCUCAAAUGAGUUUAAAUUGUGAAUUACAUCAGUUCAUCACAGCCAAAGCAAACCUCUUUUUAAUUGCAGAUCUCAAAUGUCCCCCCUCUAAAUUAAAAUAAAAUGCACAAAAUGCUGCCAACUGUUUCACAAAGUAAGUAGCUAAAAACAAAAACUAUUUGUACUUUUUCUGGAUUUCCUGGGUGGCAAGCAGUUCUGCUUUCUGGCCUGGGUGGGAUCAGCUGGGACAAUUAGGGUGCCUGGCUUCUCUAUCUACAUAUUCUUUCAUGCUAGGCUUCUUCAGACAUGGUGGUCUCAGGGUUUAAGAACAUGAGAGGUGGCAGGGUGUGGUGGCUCAUGCCUGUAAUCCCAGAAAUUUGGGAGGCCGAGGCAGGCGGAUCACCUGAGGUCAGGAGUUCGAGACUAGCCUGACCAACAUGCAGAAUGGUUUGGGGGCUGUUAGAAAACACAUUUCUUGAACUAUUUCUUAUUCAGAUGAUUGUAAAGAUUAUUUUGAUUAAGAAGGCACCUCUCACUGUUUGAUGCUUUUAUACUGAAUGAAAAACAGUCCAAAGGUCUGUAAGACAAUUCACAUUGGUACAGAUUUAGAUAAUUAUUUCCUGAAAAGAAAUGUUGAACUGUUAGUUACUACUCAAAUUCUUUUCUUAAAACAAAAUGAAACAUUCAAGUUUGACUUAGAAAAUUACUAGACU